GUACGUGAAACCGUUCAGGGGUAAACGGGAGACAUCCUGAAUUCGAAGGGGAUUGGAUUCAUUUCUGCCCGGUUGUACAGUCCUCCAAUACCCACCAGAUGUCGCUGGGCGCCCGCGGUGAUUUAUUUCGCUUGUGGUGUCGUUCCGGCUUCACUCGGUGGGGUGGUGUGUACUCUGCCUCCGGCUGAAAGCACUUCCUCCCUUGUAGAAACGUCGCGACCCGUUGGGUGCCGGUCUAAGGCCCGGAAUGGCAGACCGUGUGUCCUGUGCGCGGCGUCGCACAGGCGCGCGGACUUCUGGUGACCCGGCCGGCUGCCCGACGGUAUGACCAGAGGAGUCGAUCCGCUGUAUUGGGAAUCACAAUGGUUUGUGAAGCGUCCGGCCCGACGCUAACACGUGCUGGUCAAUUGGUGCAAGCCAGGGUGGCGCAUGCUGUAGCAUGACCCGGGCCCAGUUGCGUUGUUGGUUGUCGGUGUCCUCGGACUGGAUCAGUUCUCCCGUCUGCGACGCCCUCCUUCGGAUGG
rnacentral:rRNA from 2 species